rnacentral:rRNA from 1 species
UCGAAGGUAACGCGAUAAGUUGACCGCCUGGGGACUACGGGCCGCAAAGGCUAAAAACUCAAAGGAAUUGACGGGGGCCCGCACAAGCGGUGGAGCAUGUGGCUUAAUUCGAGGCAACGCGAAGAACCUUACCUGGGCUUGAAAUAAUAGUGACAGUCGUAGAAAUACGAUCUUCCUUCGGGACGCUACUACAGGUGCUGCAUGGCUGUCGUCAGCUCGUGCCGUGAGGUGUUCGGUUAAGUCCGACAACGAGCGCAACCCGCGUCAUUAGUUGCCAUCAGGUAAUGCUGGGGACUCUAAUGAGACUGCCCGUGUAAGCGGGAGGAAGGCGCGGAUGACGUCAAGUCAGUAUGGCCCUUACGCCCAGGGCUGCACACGUGCUACAAUGGGUGGUACAAUGAGACGCAAAGCUGCGAGGCUGAGCAAAUCUACAAAACCACUCUUAGUUCAGAUUGCACUCUGCAACUCGAGUGCAUGAAGUUGGAAUCGCUAGUAAAGGCGUAUCAGCUACGACGCCUUGAAUACGUUCCCGGGCCUUGUACACACCGCCCGUCACAUCAUGGGAGUUGACUGCACCCGAAAUCGCUGUUUUGACCUUUCACGAGGAGAUAGGCCCCUAAGGUUCGGUUGAUGACUGGGAUG